rnacentral:lncRNA from 1 species
ACUUUAUGCUGGAAAAUGUAGCAGAAUCACUUGUGACCCGUUUCUCUCCACCUGAAUGACAAUGACGUCGGAUUGUGUUCUUUGCCCAGGGAGUGAUCAGCUUUGCCGAAAGCAUUUAGGAGAGAUAAACACUCUUGCCCACGACCUCCCUGCAAACAAGGCCUCAGCAUCCCAGCCUGGCAGCCACUUGCAGUGCCUGUCUGUCCACUGCACAGACGACGUGGGUGACGCCAAGGCUCGAGCCUCCGUGCCCACCUGGCGGUCCCUGCAUUCUGACAUCUCCAACAGAUUUGGGACAUUCGUGGCUGCCCUAACUUGAAUGACAAGAAAGAUCCCCUCCUCUACCAGGCCCUUCCUCUCCCCCUGUCUGUUUCCUUCCCCCUCAACCUUACCCCACCCCUCUGUUAAUUUGAAAGGGCCACUAUUGCUGAGUGGAUGAGUUUUUUUUUUUUCUCUAGGUUGGUACCUGCUUAGUGGCAUAUGGACCGGAAAGGGUUAAUUUAAAGGGGGGGAACCUCAAAAGUUUUUUUAAAAAAGAAACUUGUCUGCCACAGUA